AAAGCUCAUUGACUCUUUUCAAGCAUGGUGAUGAGGUCGUGGGAAGAAGAGCAAAGACGGAGUCUCGCUGUGUUGUCCAGGAUGGAGUGCAGUGGUGCUUUCUCAGCUCACUGCAACCUCUGCCUCCCAGUUCAAGCAAUUCUUCUGACUCAGCCUCCUGAGUAGCUGGGAUUACAGGCACCUGCUACCACACCAUGCUAAUUUUUGUAUUUUUAGUAGAGACGGGGUUUCUCCAUGUUGGCCUGGCUGGUCUCGAACUCUGACCUCAGGUGAUCCACCUGCCUCGGCCUCUCAAAAUGCUAGGAUUACAGGUGUGAGCCACCACACCUGGCCAACUUAUCCUUUUUUUAACAUCUAGUUUUCUGUGAGUGUUUUCUAAUGUGCACUGUAGACGGACACAGUGGUAUGUGAUUACUAUUCAUAGAUAAAUAAUAAUUUGUUUAUUAUUGUGUAAUAAACAUUGUGUGAUAAAGAA
rnacentral:antisense_RNA from 1 species